rnacentral:rRNA from 1 species
CCUACGGGAGGCAGCAGUGAGGAAUAUUGGGCAAUGGACGAGAGUCUGAACCAGCCAAGUAGCGUGAAGGAUGACUGCCCUAUGGGUUGUAAACUUCUUUUAUAUGGGAAUAAAAUGUUCCACGUGUGGGAUUUUGUAUGUACCAUAUGAAUAAGGAUCGGCUAACUCCGUGCCAGCAGCCGCGGUAAUACGGAGGAUCCGAGCGUUAUCCGGAUUUAUUGGGUUUAACGGGAGCGUAGGUGGAUUGGUAAGUCAGUUGUGAAAGUUUGCGGCUCAACCGUAAAAUUGCAGUUGAAACUGGCAGUCUUGAGUACAGUAGAGGUGGGCGGAAUUCGUGGUGUAGCGGUGAAAUGCUUAGAUAUCACGAAGAACUCCGAUUGCGAAGGCAGUUCACUGGACUGCAACUGACACUGAGGCUCGAAAGUGUGGGUAUCAAACAGGAUUAGAUACCCUAGUAGUC